GUAGAACACUGCUAGGUAAAUAUGGAAUGAUAUAAAAUAAUGGCGGGAUAAAAGGUGACUUGUGUACUCAUUUUUUGUACUUGUAUAGGAGUGCACACCACAAUACAUUAGGAUGUUCUAACAUCUUACUUCGUACCCCUACUUUUACCCUUUGUGUCACUAUACACCAUUCCCUAUAGAAUGUAAGCUCAUUGAGCAGGGCCCUCC